UGCCUAACACAUGCAAGUCGAACGGAAGUAGAAAUACUUAGUGGCGAACGGGUGAGUAACACGUGAGCAACCUGCCUUAUACACAGGGAUAACAGUUGGAAACGACUGCUAAUACCGGAUAAGACCACACUAUGGCAUCAUAGAGGGGUCAAAGCGAGUAAGCGGUAUAAGAUGGGCUCGCGUCCGAUUAGCUAGUUGGUGAGGUAACGGCCCACCAAGGCGACGAUUGGUAGCCGACUUGAGAGAGUGAUCGGCCACACUGGAACUGAGACACGGUCCAGACUCCUACGGGAGGCAGCAGUGGGGAAUAUUGGGCAAUGGAGGAAACUCUUUAACCCCCAGCAAUGCCGCGUGAGUGAUGAAGGUCUUUGGAUUGUAAAGCUCUUUGAUUGGGGACGAAUAAAUGACGGUACCCAAAGAACAAGCCCCGGCUAACUAUGUGCCAGCAGCCGC
rnacentral:rRNA from 1 species